rnacentral:rRNA from 1 species
AUGAACGCUGGCGGCGUGCCUAAUACAUGCAAGUCGAGCGAACAGACGAGGAACUUGCUCCUCUGACGUUAGCGGCGGACGGGUGAGUAACACGUGGAUAACCUACCUAUAAGACUGGGAUAACUUCGGGAAACCGGAGCUAAUACCGGAUAAUAUAUUGAACCGCAUGGUUCAAUAGUGAAAGACGGUUUUGCUGUCACUUAUAGAUGGAUCCGCGCCGCAUUAGCUAGUUGGUAAGGUAACGGCUUACCAAGGCAACGAUGCGUAGCCGACCUGAGAGGGUGAUCGGCCACACUGGAACUGAGACACGGUCCAGACUCCUACGGGAGGCAGCAGUAGGGAAUCUUCCGCAAUGGGCGAAAGCCUGACGGAGCAACGCCGCGUGAGUGAUGAAGGUCUUCGGAUCGUAAAACUCUGUUAUUAGGGAAGAAUAAAUGUGUAAGUAACUAUGCACGUCUUGACGGUACCUAAUCAGAAAGCCACGGCUAACUACGUG